UACGAAGGGGGCUAGCGUUGUUCGGAAUUACUGGGCGUAAAGGGCGCGUAGGCUGUGCUGUAAGUCAGGCGUGAAAUCCCCGGGCUCAACCUGGGAAUUGCGUUUGAUACUGCGGCGCUGGAAUGCAGGAGAGGAUGGCGGAAUUCCCAGUGUAGAGGUGAAAUUCGUAGAUAUUGGGAAGAACACCGGCGGCGAAGGCGGCCAUCUGGCCUGUAAUUGACGCUGAGGCGCGAAAGCGUGGGGAGCAAACAGG
rnacentral:rRNA from 1 species